UGACGAAUAAGGUUGCAAAUUCUUAGGUGCAUUCUAAUUCUAAAGGACUAUAAGAAAUAUAUAUGUGGAGCCAUAGUCGUGAGUACUGCCAUGUGUGGAUGUUAUUUUCAUGUUCAAGAACUUCAUUGACUUCAUCCUUCAUGCCUAUUGGCAUCGCCAUGUCCUGUUCAGACAGCAAACAUAUUUCUGAAUAUGAUUCAAAUGCAGGCUUUUGUGAGUGAGUACGCUGUUUGGAGAAGUGAUGCAGGUAGAGGAAGUCUUCUUGCUUCAUUGGCAGAAGCUGCUUUCCUUACCGGGCUGGAGAUGAACAGUGACAUUGUUCAUAUGGCAAGUUACGCUCCACUGUUUGUAAAUGACAACGACAGAGCGUUAGUAUCCAUGGUUUGAUGCUUUAUUUGCUUCUGUUCUCCUUUCAUCUAACACUGAGGUAAAUUGCGUUUGAAUAAAACUGUCAGAUGGAACCCAGAUGCUAUCGUCUUCAACUCGUGGCAACAUUAUGGAACUCCUAGUUACUGGAUGCAGACGCUGUUCCGUGAGUCCAGCGGUGCUAUGAUUCAUCCAAUUACAGUCAGUUCCAGCUACUCUGGUUCGCUCGCAGCAUCUGCAAUUACU